rnacentral:rRNA from 1 species
GAUGAACGCUGGCGGCGUGCCUAAUACAUGCAAGUCGAGCGAACAGAUGAGGAGCUUGCUCCUCUGACGUUAGCGGCGGACGGGUGAGUAACACGUGGAUAACCUACCUAUAAGACUGGGAUAACUUCGGGAAACCGGAGCUAAUACCGGAUAAUAUAUUGAACCGCAUGGUUCAAUAGUGAAAGACGGUUUUGCUGUCACUUAUAGAUGGAUCCGCGCCGCAUUAGCUAGUUGGUAAGGUAACGGCUUACCAAGGCAACGAUGCGUAGCCGACCUGAGAGGGUGAUCGGCCACACUGGAACUGAGACACGGUCCGACUCCUACGGGAGGCAGCAGUAGGGAAUCUUCCGCAAUGGGCGAAAGCCUUACGGAGCAACGCCGCGUGAGUGAUGAAGGUCUUCGGAUCGUAAAACUCUGUUAUUAGGGAAGAACAAAUGUGUAAGUAACUAUGCACGUCUUGACGGUACCUAAUCAGAAAGCCACGGCUAACUACGUG